rnacentral:rRNA from 1 species
UACAGAGGUCUCAAGCGUUGUUCGGAUUCAUUGGGCGUAAAGGGUGCGUAGGCGGCGCGGUAAGUCGGGUGUGAAAUCUCGGAGCUUAACUUCGAAACUGCAUUCGUAUACUGCCGUGCUUGAGGACUGGAGAGGAGACUGGAAUUUACGGUGUAGCGGUGAAAUGCGUAGAUAUCGUAAGGAAGACCAGUGGCGAAGGCGGGUCUCUGGACAGUUCCUGACGCUGAGGCACGAAGGCCAGGGGAGCAAACGGG